AAAGGAGCAGGCAUCAGGCACACAAUGGCAGCCCAAGACGCCUUGCUCAGCCACGCCCCCAAGGGAACUCAGCAGUGACAAACAUUAAGCCAUAAGCGAAAGCUUGACUUAGCCAGGGCUAAGAGGGUCGGUAAAACUCGUGCCAGCAACCGCGGUUAUACGAGGGACCCAAAUUGAUAAAUCACGGCGUAAAGUGUGAUUAGAGGCAAACCAAACUAGAGCCAAAUACCCCUUAUGCAGUCAUACGCCAUAGGGGUCACGAAGACCAACAACGAAGGUGGUUCUAUAAAACUUGAACUCACGACAGCUAGGACACAAACUGGGAUUAGAUACCCCACUAUGCCUAACCUUAAACCAAGGUGAUAAAACUACAAACUUCACCCGCCAGGGAACUACGAGCCCCCGCUUAAAACCCAAGGGACUUGGCGGUGCCUCAAACCCACCUAGAGGAGCCUGUCCUAUAACCGAUAAUCCCCGUUAAACCUCACCCCUUCUUGUUAAUUCCGCCUAUAUACCGCCGUCGCCAGUUUACCUUUUGAAAGAACAAAAGUAAGCAAAACGGGCACCACCCAGAACGUCAGGUCGAGGUGUAGCGAAUGAAGGGGGAAGAGAUGGGCUACAUUUUCUGGCAACAGAACACUACGGAGAGUGCGAUGAAAAACGCACAGCCGAAGGUGGUUUUAGCAGUAAAAAGGGAAAAGAGAGCCCUUUUUGAAACCGGCCCUGAGGCGCGUACACACCG
rnacentral:rRNA from 1 species